GCUAUGAUAAGGCGCGGGCAGCGAAACAUCGUUCUCUGCACACACGGAAACUCGAUCGGCUAGCGCGACACGGAGGAGCCUCGAGCGUGUUGUCCGGUCCAUGAUUCAACGGGACGAGAUGCAGCAGGUUUCGCGUAGACGAGAGCAAAUUGGCCAGACGGCGUCCGAUAACGCGAUGACGCUUCCGCCAUCGGCUCGCCUUCUGUCUCACUGGACACGAGGGCGCUCUUUCAAUUACCGCGACCGGAUGGUAGGUCGCAUCGCCUGCCAAGGGGGACAGUUGGAUACGCGGGCAGAUAGAUCGACAGAUAUACGCGCGUCGUUGCAUCUGUGCUAAAAAUGCUCGCUUAAAUGCGAAGAGGAGACGAUAGGGGAACCGAUCUCGCGUCUCGAGAGGCAAAGCGUGCCUGGACGUGCUCGUGAAAUUCGAUCGGUUUCGGUCUAACCAGGCCCUCUCGGAUAUCGAAAGAGGCCUGGAUGAUUUACCUUUAGGAGGUCUUGUAGGUGCAAGGCUUUAGGGUCCGUGAUAAGGUCUGGGAAAAAAUUGGCAAUCUGGGAAAGGAACGCGGCUGGAACUGCGACCGAAUUUCUUCCGAUAACUGUCCCCUUCGAGGCGAGUUUCACUUCGAGUCAAGGUUGGGCAUAUUUACGCGAUUACGGUCGCUGGCUGCGAAGCAGGCAGGUGGCGAAGGCAACGCGAAACGAGAGAACGUGCGUGCGUGUCAUCGAGACGGCCGAAUUAUUUGGCGGUGGAUCGCGAAGCCUCUUUUCGCACCUGGCGUUGUCAAAAACGGCCAGCUCUCCGGCCGCUGUCGACUCGGAUCCACGACGGUUCCACUCGAUAGGGAUCGAUCGCCACGCUUCCGACAAGUUUCAUCUCGUAGUUCCUUCUUUCGCAGAUCUCGAGACAAGCGCGUUCGACGAAAUAGAAAAGGUUCGAAUACGCUGGAGGCGGCAGCCGGCGGUGUUCGUUGGAAUUCGACGAGCUGUUCAAGCCCGAGGAGAGAUCGGCGAAGGCUCCCACGCUUGCCACGCAGCUAUGCGAUAAUGGAACGAAGGAAUCUCGGUAUCGCUCGGUAACCGACGGUAGCGAUCGGUACUGGACUCUCUCAAUUUCGUGCGAUCGAUCGCGUCCCCUGUAGCGACAGAGUUCGUUAAGGAUCGCAGGACUCGAUGAUCGCGAAAAAUCGACGACUUGGACAUCCCAGGCUUUCACAGCCUGGCUCUUGGUGGAUACUAACGGAGACUUCCGGGUGGUAGUUUCGCAAGCAUCGAACUGGCUUCCCAAGGGUUCAAAUGACACACUGAUAUUGGCGUGCGUCGCGUAACUUGGGUAAUUUUAAGGUACCUCUGUUAAUGCACGGUUCAUUGGCUACCAAUCACCGAGCUCGUGGCACGGUUCACUGGUCACUGAUAGAAGUUUGACUGAAUUAACGAAAAACUGAGAAGGAACGCGUUCCAGAUAGGGUUCAAAGUUUCUUCAGUUUCCUGUAUACUCGAUGUCCGAGAGUUCAACCAGAACUUGGACUCGGUGACGAAGCCGUGGCUAUUAUCGAUGAAACCUGGAGGUUCGACAUUUCGUCCGCGACUCGUGUUUUUCUAUGAAAUUUACACCGACGAACCGUGGGAAACGUACGGGACUGGAGUUACCGCUCCUCGGAGCGGCUGGAGAAUAGCCGCGACGCGUUUAAGCGGACAAACAACCCGAUACCUCGUCUUCUAUUUAUCGCUUCGUACUCGACCCUCGAGAGUACCAUUUACCGACUACCGUGGUACACGUUGGCGGACCGCUGCCUCGCGUUGGCCUCCAGACUUUUCCGUUUACGUGGGCACGGACGAUACCAGCUGCGAGGAUACUCGCUCGGGCCCAUCCACCGUUAUUCCCCACCGACAAUCCUGCUACGCUUUUAGUCCUUUCGGAUUUUCCCGGAUCACUCGCCGAGGAACUUUGUUUAAACCUCUUGGGGGACGAAUUACUUUAUUUGAAAUUUUUAUAUUUGCCUGUAACAUCUAUCAGGUUAAAGAGCUACAGUUCUAUCUGCGUUGAAAAAUUGAGUAAUCUAAUGCGUAUCCAAGAUACAACCAAGUAGAAGCUUUGGAUCGAAACGGUGGCCGAGGUAGACGCUGGAAGAGGAACGUCGCGACGGCGACGCGACGGAAGGAACGAGCCUCGGCGGGACUCAACAGGUUUGUUGGCUGCCACAAAGCGGACGUCCUAGCGAUGGUAGUUUCGUCGCCACGUAGCGGUCCGAUGGGUUAUUUUGGAUGGAUAUUUGACACAGGGGUCGGUAAACUAUGGGCCGCAGGCUAGGUCUGGUCCGCAACGUAUUAUCGUACGGCCCGUGGUGCUAAGAACAAUUGUUAAGCGAACGUAACGAUGCACGAGGUACAGCGACGACUUAUUGUUAGCAGGCUCUGACGAGGCCCUAGAAAAGUGUCCUAUCUUGGAAUAACUCCGAACGGAACCGUCACGGCGAGUGGGUCUCGUUGAAUUAUUUUUAACGCUCUGAAAUCGUUCGACGCCCAUCGAAGCACUACGACGACCGACUUUACUUUCGGAGGAACGGCGUUGUCGGCUGAGGCUCGUCUCGAAAAGCUAUGCAACCGCGGCUACGACGGGAUAUUCGUCUCGGUUGGCCGAGACGUAGACGACUCGGACAGGUGUACGAGAAAAUACGAAUAGGUUUAGGGUAUCGGUUACAAAGCUCGACGAGAGCCGACCCUUUACAACCCUGGUCGCAUCAAGACCGUAUUGUUCGUCGAGGAAAAUUUACGAAUGCCAAGCGUGCGGGUGGUGCGAGAGUGUGCGAGCGUAACGAGUCCCUUGGCGCAGGUCUGAUUUAUGCGAGGUCGCAAGGAAAGAACCCAGGGCCUCUCACCUGCCCAGAUCUUUCUGCCUGGUAUUCUACCUUAGCCUUCGUCACCCAUCCUGCGUCGAUGCUUCAGUCAAAUUUCAUCGAUCCGUCACGAUAUCGAAGAGAAUCGUGCAACCUAGCGUCACCUCGCUCCGUUUCGCAUUAAUUCCACUGUUGCGCCAACCAGUACCGUUUCAGGUUUUAUUAUCAUACUAAAUUUAUCAUAAUCCCGAAAAAAUGAAUUUUAUCACAGCUUUGUUUACGGGUUCGACCACCGCGAGAAAGAGUAAGCCCGCGAGUAAACUACCGCUACAGUUACGGAAUCUUUGUGCUGCUCGAUGGUAAACGAGUAGACGAGCCGAUGCUUCCGAGGUACCCAGUGCGCCAGAAACGAAACACCCAGGUGCCAGAGGUCCUCGAGGUUAUAGUAGCGGUGUCCGAACGACGGUUCGAUGACCCAGGUGGUAAAGGAAUUGUAUACGGUGUCACCGAUACCCCAAAUACAGCCAGCAGAGUCAUUGUUCGCAGUGUAACCGAUACCCUCUGGCUCCAAGAACAGGCUGAUCUUCUACCUGUACCUCUGUCGGCAUAAUUGCCCCGCUCUUUGCGCACCUUGCCCUUUGUGUUGCGAUUCGUCGAGCCGUUGUCGCGAUUUACCCGUCGCACGGUGCGGCCACGACGGGACGGAUUUGCUCGUGUAAUGGGACAAAAGAAAGUAAACGAACUGCGAGGGCAGUAACAGUUCCUAUUAACCCUCGAAUACUAAGUGCUCGAUCGAGGACAGAAAAACAAUGAGAAAUGUUCGUAUAAACGUGUCUCCCAUCCGACCUCGUUCCCGAGGUGCAAUAAUUUUCGUACUCCAGGAAUAAGCAGUCGUUUACCUUCGCAGGUAUACGAAGUAACCGCAAAUACAGGCUCGCAGGAGUCUUAUGGAAAUUACCAGUAUUUCGAACAUUCCAGGUACUAGGACUGUUUCAUCGCUGAAUCGAAGAAUAGUCGUGUUAUUGGCAUCGCUUCAACUACGUUUCCACAAAGCUCCAAAUAUCGUCGGCUGCGCCGGUUGCGGGACUUCCCCAAGAGAGGGUUGCCUGUCGUUUACGCGGACAUUUUGAAUUUCCCAAUUCGUAACGCUGCGAAGAGAAAAGCCAAUCGAAUUCGCGAAGCAGUCCCGCGUAAAAUGUUGCCCUUAUUGUUGCGACUAUGAAACACGAUACGACCGGCUGGUGCGGAGUGGAUAUGGUACUGCGUUCUCGAAUGUUUGCCAGCGUAUGAGACAAAGCGAGAAGAAGCGAGCAACCGUGGACGAGGGAGAGAAAGAGAAGGGUGCGAGCAUAGGGAGGGUGAAGUUUGGUCUAAAGAUUACGAGGCGCGACAUCUGGCGCCACAUGCACAUUUAAAAGCUCCCGCGUACGUGUAGCUGGACGAUGGCUGAGAAUCGCUCGCGACAAUUUGUCCAUUCCGCCUUCGCGUUUUCUAGUUCUCGAAGAAUAGAAGUAGAUCUGUCUUGAGACCAAAAUGAUUUGUAAUAAUAAUUUUAUAUAAACGCGAGCUUUAGAAAUUGAUUCUUCAAACCAAGGAUCGCUGGGUUACAAGGUUCGUAGACAAUCAACGAUACAGUUAAUAGAUCGUGGAAUUGAAAAACUUGUAACUAGACUACUUAAAAAUAUUAAUAGUAAUUCUUCAGAUGCAGCAAGUGUCCUUGGGGUUCAGGAUGUGUCUCGAAUUCGAUAGAAGAUCGAAGCCUUCGCUUAUACAUCGAAUCCCGCACGAGCAUGUUCGAACACGAGGGCAUGAGCGUGCAACCGCGCGUAACCCGCGAUACUUGGUCCAUUUCUAUUCCACCCGCGAAACACCUGGCGAUAGACCUGGUUACCCGAGCGAAACAAAGAAUUAGCGACGCUGGGAAAGGUAAAUGCGCGCGCAUACGCUCAGAUUCUAGACGUAGACUUAGACUCGUUCGCCGAUCUGAAACGCGAUCGUUUAUAAUGACUGUGAGACACGGAAGCGAAAUUCAAAGCUAUUACUGAUAUACAUUUUCGACAUAGAUAGCUCCAUAAUUCCUAUGAUCAUUUCAACUGUUGGCUCUCAAUAAUAAUAUUUGAAGGCUGUCGAAGCACGAGUUGGAAAGAAUAGAUUCGAGAUGGAAAUUUUGGUCGAAUGAGUCGGAGGGCAAUCGCGACCGUGUCUCGCGAAACAAGGACGCGUCGCACGCCACGCGCCAUGCGACAUACGACGUCGCGGCGCCGACGCCCAGCUGGCAUUUUCACCGGGAUUCUGCUCACGUCAGGGCUGUUGUUUAAACCGUUUUGCUUCGAACAAUUUUGUUUCCUCGCGUACUUGUUUCACGGCUUACUGUCGCCGCUCGUAUGUUAUUCGAAAUUCGAGAUUGAAGCGCUUGCUGCUCGAGAAUCGGGAAAAUCGGUAAAAGCUGAGGCGAAACGCGCAAUGUCGGUGCACGGUGGAAAAUCAAGAUGCGUUCCACGUUUCCCUCUACGCUCGAUUUGGCUGGUUUCGUCUCCUUUUCCCGGCUUCCACGGAACGUUCUAAUUUCGUGCCGGACACGUGCCCGGAUGGAAACAGAUGUAUACCUCUCGCGCGUCAUAUAAAUACAUCGGUGCUCUACUCGCUCUUGGUGCUUGACUAACCGGCUCACAGCCGAAUAUCCCCGACAGGGAAUCGUUGCACGAGUCGACAAGCCGUGCCUUCGAAUCGAUAUAAAGUUACUGGCUGGCGCCAGCUUGACUGCGAGAUUCCAGAGCAACUUCAAUCCCGACGCUGCGCUUUUACACCGAUGUUAGCGACACUUAUUCGGCCAAUACGUAACGAUUGAAACGCAUGGAAAUUUACGAUUAACCGUUUGUUCUUUGCGAAACAUUUCAUUUUAUAGCUCGAUAACUGUAACUAAUACGAUUUUUGCUGAAGCUGCUGUCAAGAGGGAUUUCAAACUGUCCUUUAAGAGCAGUUGUGGAUUCAACACCCGUUGAACACGAAUGCCGAUCAAUGAAAAAAGUAUGGCUUUAAC